AAGUCGUAACAAGGUUUCCGUAGGUGAACCUGCGGAAGGAUCAUUAAUGGAGACAUGCUGCUCUUGAGUGGCAAUCGCCCAUCCUGUGUUGUGUGCGUGUAUGUGUAUGUGCAUGUGCCUCGGUGCUUGCACAUGUGCUUGUUAACCCAUGUGUUUAAUCAUUCUGAUACAAUUGCUCGCAAGCCCAGCAAUGGGAAGCGACACAACAAUCGAAAACUGCCACCAAUGGAUCACUUGGUUCUC
rnacentral:misc_RNA from 1 species